GUCAGGAUGGCCGAGCGGUCCAAGGCGCCAGACUCAAGCUUCCAAAUUUGCUCUGCUAAUGCACAGCCAAAGUGCGUUCUGGUCCACUAAUGUGGGCGUGGGUUCGAAUCCCACUCCUGACA
rnacentral:tRNA from 1 species